AGAGCCAUCAAAUUUUAUAAACACCUUAAAACAAGUGACCCCAACUCCUACCACUACAAAGCUCUGCAAUGCCAAGAGGAGAACAUGGAGAAGAGCCCCCUCAGCCAGCUGGUCCUGAGGCUCAGCUCCUCUAACAACACAAGACCUCAGCACAGCCCUCACACAAUCUGGACCCACCAAAUUAUAGAGAAACAAAAAGAACAUUACAUUAACUAUUGGACAUCGACCACAAAAACGCAAAGCAAACUUCAGUGUUAUUUGGCUCUAAAUAGACAGUACACGGUGGCAGAAUAUCUGAGCACCGUGACUGAUGAGAAACUGAGGAAGACUUUGACCAUGUACAGACUCAGUGACCACAGCUUGGCCAUAGAGACGGGCAGACACAGGCAGACCUGGCUGCCCAGAGAGGACAGGUUGUGUGAGCUCUGUCCACACAGACAAGUGGAGACAGAGACACACUUCCUGUUGCACUGCAGCAAGUAUGAACACAUCAGAGCCGACUUCCUCUCAAAAAUAAAACAUAAAGUCACUGACUUUGAUUCUCUGCCUGAUCAAACUAAAAUGCAACACAUCCUUGGAGAGAACAGAGUCAGCAGCUUAGCAGCAGCAACAUAUGUCAGGUUAUGCCACAGCCUGAGGGACAACCAUCACAACACCUGACACACCUGUCUAUAUUUACAGUCCUUGUAACUCACAAUCUACAUUUUUCUUUAUUCAUUUUUUUCCCUAUAUUAUAUAUUGGUGUAUUGUAUUGUAGAUUGGUGUAUUUUGUAUUAUAUAUCAUAUAUUUAAUCUUUUUUAUAUAGUUUUCUGAUUUACUUUUAUUAUUGUACUUUAUUUGUAAAUUUUAAUGUCUUUGGCAAUAUUGUUAAUCUACAGUCAUGCCAAUAAAGAUUAUUGAAUUGAAUUGAGAGAGACAGAGAGAGAGAGAGAGAGAGAGAGAGAGAGAGAGAGUUCACAGUGAAGCUUUUAGAUCAUAAAGAGUCGACAGUUUAAUCUCACUAAAACACUGCAGCUGUGUCACAGUAGAUUUAUUAAACUGAAGCUUUUAGCAGACUGAUGAUCAGAGCCUUCUGCUGUGGGAACAACAGCAACAGCAACAGCAACAACAACAGCAACAGCAACAACAACAACAACAACAGAACAAGAAUCAAACAAAUAACCUUCAUCAAGCCGCAACUGAUACAUUUACAGACAAUAAUUUGAUUAAUUUUAAUUUUGAUUUUGGUUUGGUUUGGUUUAAUUGAUUUUUUAAAAUCUAAUUUAAUGUUAAAGGGACAGGUGCAGUCUGAACAGUGGACAACAUGUCCUCAUACAGCAGCUCAUGUGAUUUCUUCUGAACUGACCGUUUGGAUUAGUUUGAGGAAAGAAUCCUGUCUGAUGGUUUCAUUUUACAUACGAACAUAACUUCAAACUAGUCACUGGUGACUUUCUGUCAGGACAUAACACAGAGGUGUUCUGGGUCACAGUCCUGUGACUGUUUGACCUGUCUGUCCUCUCUGACCUCAGAGACACGUCCUCUCAGUGAGACCAGGCUGAGCUGUCACACUGUGAACGUCUCAGGACCGUCCUCUACCCAGGACAUGGUCAAACUGUCCCUCGCUACAGAUACGACACAGCCACCGUCUGUUUCCUCAUCAGAGCAGAAACUCCUCUGUCCUCUGGUCCCUGAACGCAGCACCUGGAGCUGGUCAAUGUAUCUGAUGAAGAUGAUGAUGAUGAUGAUGAUCCUGAAUGAUUGUGGACUGUUUGUUUAUGGUCUCACUGAGUCCUCUUCCUCUGUAUUUGUCUCUCCUCCCUCAGCUUCCUAUUUCCUGCCGAAUCAAAUCAAGCCACAGAAACAUCAUCAUCAUCUUCAUCUUCAUCAUCAUGGUGUGUAAAUGGACUAAAGCAGCAGGAUGAGCAAAGACGACGACGAUGAUGAAGAUGAAGAAGCUGCUGCAGGGAGACAACGGACGACUCAGUUUGACCUUCAGAGACUGAAGGCUGAAACAGAUGGACUCAGCAGGACCUGGUGAGACAGUGUGUGUGUGUGUGUGUGUGUGUGUGUGUCAGCUCUCUGGUAUGUUUAUGGUCCUAAGCUCCACCCACCUGCUGUCUCUCACACACACACACACACACACACACACACACACACACACACACACACACACACACACACACACGCACACACACACACACACACGCACACACACACACACACACACACACAUCAUAGAGUUCAGGUGUGUUCACACUGUGAUCUGUCUUUGUUCAGGCUCUCCUGCUCUUUGAGUGUGUAACCCUGAACAGAUGUUUUAUUUAUGUUUGAACUGUUUGUUUGUUUGUUGUUAAAUGUAAAUGUACUUUAUUGCAUUUUACUCUGUAAGGCGACCUUGAGUGUCAUGAAAGGCGCCCAGAAAUAAAAUGAAUUAUUAUUA